rnacentral:piRNA from 1 species
UAGUAUUGGAGAAGAUUAGAAGUUGGAAG